AAAGAGAUAACUUUCCCUAUCACAAGUGGGCGUUCUAACAUGCCGUCAUGUAUGUGCAAGUGAGAAAUGCUUUUUGUGGGAAAGCCCCAGCAGGAGCAAGUCGCCAUUGCAUGUGCUCAGUGCAAAGGAGAAGGAGGAGGAAAAUGGCUCAGGGUGA